CUUUCUCAAGAUAGCCAUGCACGUCUAAGUACAAACUAAAUGAUGGUGAAACUGCAAAUGGCUCAUUACAACGGUUAUGAUGUACCCGGGAGUUCCGAUGGAUAUUUCCAGUAACACUAGAACUAAUACAUGUCCCUGCGUUUAUUAGUUUCGCACAGUCCGUCGCUGAGUCAUGGUAAACAGUUGAUCGACUCGACGUCCCGGAACAGUUUCCGCCCCAUCAGCUUCGAUGGUUGGGUAUUGGCCUACCAUUGCAACAACGGGUAACGAGGAAUUAGGGUUUGAUUUCGGAGAGGGAGCCUGAGAAACGGCUACCACAUCUACGGAUGGCAGCAGGCGCGCAAAUUACCCAAUGCAGACACUGUGAGGUAGUGACGAGAAAUAAUAAAGCGGGACUUCUGUUUCGCUAUUAUAAUGAGGAAUAACCAAAGGUCAUUCCGAUUAGCAACUGAUGGGAAAGUCUGGUGCCAGCAGCCGCGGUAAUACCAGCGUCAGUAGCA
rnacentral:rRNA from 1 species